rnacentral:tRNA from 1 species
UGGGGUGUAGCUCAGUGGUAGAGUUCACCUAGCAUGUAUGAGGUACUCAGUUCGAUUCUCAGCACCACAU